UUUUUUUUUUUUUUUUUUUUUUUUUUUUUUGUAUACAAGCAGGCAGUGAACGAUGUUUGGCCUUCAGCUGAGUUUGGUCACCCCUAGUCUAGAACCAGCUCUGUAUGGUUUUGGUUUUGGUUUUUUGUUUUUAAAAAACAGUCUCUAAAAAAGAAUCCAUAUAACUGGUUUGAGUUUAGUUGUGAGGUUCUGUAUAGUUUUCUUCUCACAGAUAGAUUAAAUUUAAUUUAGAUUAAACUUAAAUUAUUCAAGUUCAGUGUUUAAAUAUAAUUAACUAAAUCAAGGCCUUUAUUUUUAGUUAUUAUUAUUUUUGGCCAUGUGUGCAGCGGCUUAAUGUGGGAUCUUAGUUCCUAGAACAAGGAUUGAACCUAGGCCAUAGUGGUAGAAGUUCUGAGUCUUAACCACUAGACCAUCAGGGAACUCCCUAAGGCCUUUAUUUAAUAAACAAGUCUCUCAUCAGUUGUUUGUGAAUGUUGUUUCUGCAAAUUAAGAUUAUUUCUCUGUCUUUUCCUCUCCAUAUGUAUUAUAUGUAUACAUAUAUGCGUGUCUAUAUAUACACAUAAUAUAACGUGUGUACACAACUAUCUCACUUUUGAGGACCACUAAUGCUAUGAACAUCAUGAAAGACCAAUAUUUAAGAUAAUGGCUAUUAUCCAUUGAACACUUACUAUGUGUCAGGCCCUUUUCUAGGCCCUUUGCUAUUUAUUUUAAUUAGUCCUUCCCCCAAAUGUAUGACAUUGGCAUUAUUAUCAUUAUCAUCAUCUUCAUUUUUGGCCUGUGAAGACCAAGACCUAGAAUGACUCACCCAAGGUGAUGUAGCUAAGAGAAAGCAUUGUCUAUAAUUUGUUCUCAAGAAUUCUGACUCUAGUCAGCUUUCCUAAUGAUAAAUUAUGCCUUGCUAGGUACUGAAAUAUAUGCGUGAAAGUAGUUCAACUGCAUUUUUGAAUUGUAAUGGAAGAAAAUGGAAGCAGUGAAUAAAGAUUAAAAAAUUAUUUUUCUAGGAAACAAGCAUGUGAUAUAGCAAAAGGAAACAUUUAGGAAGCAAGUAUUCUAAUAGUUUUCACUAAUUAAAUUUUAAUUUGUUUUUGUCCACGAGCAUAGGUAGCCAACUCAGACUCUAGGAUAAACUGCUGAGAUCUUCCUCUUUCCUGAACUAACUAAAUUAUCACUGAGAAUCAGGGCAGGGCAAUAGAUUAUACAAUCUGUUUACAGUUUACAAUGGAUUGUAGUAUCUGUGGCCCUGCCCUGUUGUAACAGCUACACCUGGUUACAAAAGAAUGGUGGAUCCUAUCUGGCUCAAAAAUCAUAAUACAGAUAUUUUAUAUGUGCAUAUAGAGUUUAUAAAAGACUCUCUGGCUUGUGAUAUACUGUGUGGAAGCACUUCAUUACCUGGAAAUCAUAUUCCAGUGGGAUCGUUGUUAGUCAUUCUAGCGGACCAGUGCACUAGAGGUACAGUCUUAGCCCCUUAAGUUGGAUCAGUAGAAAAGGUUAGACCUCAAGUGAACACAACCUGUGAGAGAUUCCUAGUGGAUGAGUUAACAUUUCCCUCAUUUACUUUUGGACCAAUUUUAUGUUGAACCAGGACUACAAAAUCCAUUCUUGUCUUGGGGAAUUUCUGAGACGUAAGGAGGGACACAUUUUGUUCUCCCAUUUAAGUGCUGGCCUUAGACAGAGAGAAGGAGAAAUUUUGAAAAUCAGAUAUUUACCUUGACACUGACUCACUCAUUUAAUCUUAUGGGCAAAGGCCAGGAAUUCCAAAGGUACCCAAACUUGUGCCACUCUGCAGCUAGUCUCUGACUAUGGCACUGCACUCAUUUGGCAGCACUUUCCACCAGUUCAUUGUGCAUGCAAAUAACAGAUGAUUUGAGACAAGAAAAGAUCUUUGUACACUUUUAUUGCACAGUGAUUGUUUCCUAAUUAGAUAAUAAUUCUCCUGUAAGUUUUUUUGUAGUUGAGCUUAUUGCUGAAUAAAAAGGGCCAUCAGGUAACAGGGUUUUCCAAAAACAAUACAUUUUUAUUUGCUUUAUGUAUAAUUUAUAAUUAAGUGGGCCAUAAAGUCCUACAUCUGGUUACUUCAGAUGAUGGCAUUUUUGUCCUGUAACAACACAGGAUAUGGCUACUUUUGCUUUCAGUGAGUCAUGAUCUUUUAAGGAACUAGAUAUGUUCCAAAAGGGAGUGUCUUUUUGUUUUGGGUCUCUUCACCCUCUCUCCCUCUCUUCACCCUCCAUGAAUCUGGGCCACUUUGGGUAAACACUUGCCCAUUUGUUCAUGAUUUCUGCAAUUAUGGCUUCAUGACCGAGAAUGGAAGCAACCGCCAGCCAAAGAGAAAAAAAUACAUGUUUCUUUCUCUCAAGAUUGCAAUACUUUAAUUUGACUUUAGGGUUAUCUGAGAAAGUUAACCAUGGCAGACAGUAGCACUUGUGUGCUCUUGUUGGUUCAUGUAUGCUCUGUGGAAGAAAGGCCGUGAAUGGAGAUGGCAAGGCACCAUCCGGAUUGUGGUGAGCUUGAAUGCUUACACCUUAUCUAAAGGGUACGACUGUCACUUGCCUAGCCCAGUGUUACCAUGUGGAAAUGUGGGCUCAGUAUUGCCAAGUGUUUUGAUCUUAAACAAGAAAAUAGAAAUCUGAAUUUUCUGUUAAUCUCCUCAUUUUUUAUAUAUUUGCUCUGAAAUUUAAUCACACUCAAUGAGCCACAGAGGACAUGUGUCCAGGCAGAAUUUGGCCCACGGUAACAUUUUGUCCCUUUGGCAGCCAGGAGGGGCUCUCAAUGUGGUGAAGAAGAAGUUGCAAGAGUCCUGAGAUGGGUGCUCCAGGAGCAUGGGGGUCAUAGGACGCAAGACCUGGCGUGGGUUUCACCCUCUUCUCUCUUUUCUGUUUGGCUGAUGAGGUGGUGUAAUGAUUUUUCUGUCCUUGAGAAAAACUUUGUGCUAUCCAGAUUUCCCUCCUGGAGAAGGAGGCGCUGGGGGUGUUGAACCGAGCUGGGGACUCCAGAAGCUGAGUGGGGCUGAGCAGAGGUGGGGCAAGGGUUUGAAGCCAGGGUGGCAUCUGAGAACUGAGACUCAAACACAUCUCAGCAGUAACUGGGUAGGUGGGCAGAACAUGGCACGGAAGCACAAUUGCCAGGGCCCAAGAAUGGAAAGCAGGGCUAGAAGAGGUGGCCAAGAGGUGUCCAGGGUGCUGAAGCCUGAGGGCUUUGCUUAGCUCUGGGUGAGGAGGGGUCGGGUUGAGCCGGCCAACCUGGUCUGGACAGUUGUUGAUGGUUGACUCAAGGAAGUAACCUAGGAUGAAUUUCCUGAAGGACCUGUAUCAUCUUCUUUCAUUUCCACCACUUUGGUGAUAACUAUAAUGUUCAGGAGCAGGAACAUUAUUCCUUUAUUUCUUAUAUGUACAACCGAUGUCAUAUGGCUUCAGCCUUAUGGCUUAGACAAGAUAAGGUCACUCUGCUUGAAAAUGAGGCCCUAGCCUUUGAAAUUCCUGGUCAUAUUCCCUGUCAUUCCCAUGACUGUUAUUCUGGAUGCUCUUGGGUUGAGGAGGCUGACAGUUCUCUUUAUUCUCAGAACUGAUUGAGAUAUGACAGAGGUCUCUUCCAAAGAGUUCAGAAUAUAAAAUUUACUCCUGGUGGAGCUGGAUCAGGAUUGCAGGCUGGGCCUGCAACCACAUGGUCUUCCUCAUACCUUUCCUCUGAGAAUUUUAACUUCUACCCAUCCCAUCUCAGACCAAUCUGGUACACACUUGCCUCCAGGUUGCUUAUCAUAUGGAGGCAGAGGAGAGUUAAUGUCCUGAGGACAAGCUACUGCGAAAGAGGGAAGGGGCAAGCCACGUGAGGGCAGUGAUGUGGAACACUUUAGCCCCAUUCACUAGAGCAGUGUUUCUCAAAGUGUGGUCCUCAGAUAGCCAGCAUUGGUGUUACCUAAAAGUUAUUAGAAAUGCAGACUUGUGGUCUCCAACCUAGUCAAACUGAAUCAGAGACUCUGGGGAGUGGGGCUCAAGAAUCUAUGUUUUAAGUGGCCCUCUUUGUGAUUCUGUUGCAGUUAAAGUUUGAGAAUCAUUGCAGUGGAGGAAGGUGGCUCAGUGGACCCAAGACACUUUCCCUCUCACAAGUGAGAGACAUCAGUUUCCCUUCUUUGCACCAAGUGAGAAAGUACUGUAGAGAAAGAGGCCAGAAGUGCUGCUCUAACAGAAGGUCCUUGUGCAGUUCCCGCUGUGGUGUAGUGAGUUAAGAAUCUGACCUCAGGAGUUCCCGUCGUGGUGCAGCAGAAAUGAAUCCAACUAGGAACCAUGAGGUUGCGGGUUCGACCCCUGGCCUCACUCAGUGGGUUAAGGAUCCUGCGUUGCCAUGAGCUGUGGUGUAGGUUGCAAAUGUGGCUCGGAUCCCGUGUUGUGUUGGCUGUGGUGUAGGCCGGCGGUACAGCUCCAAUUUGACCCCUAGCCUGGGAACCUCUGUGUGCUGCGUGUGCA
rnacentral:lncRNA from 1 species